rnacentral:lncRNA from 1 species
ACGGCAGCUCUAUUUACAGCAUCCCAACCCAACCAAGGAAACCGGCAGGUGAGCUGUCUCCCCUGGUAAAGCCAAUUGCCACCGAGCCUGAUAAUUUGCAGUCAAUCUCUGGGACGCGCAGCCCAAGUCCCCGGAUGCUUCCCAAACUCUCUCCUAGCUCUGAGACUGGCAGUCUUUCCCUGGAGGCUGAUUCUGAUGCUGACUGUCAGGACUUCCCAGCUUAUCUGCAUGCCCUCUUCUGGUUUUCCUGCCCAGGCCUCUCGGGAAGGAGAGCUGUAGGGAGCUGUGGGUUCCUCAGACCCAUGCCCCACCCAACCCUCCCUUCCUGGGAGGACCAUUUCCUGUUUGUGAGUCAGUACCAGAACCACCAGGCUCCUCCUCCUCUUCAGCCAGGGGCAGAAGGACCAAAUGACAGGUCUAAAAUCUCCUCCACAGGCCCUGUUCUCUCCCGGCCAGUGGGCAAGCCCAUGGAUACACUCUGGAUCUGGUCUUCAGGGCUACAGCCGCCUGGAGGCUCCUCAGGGCCCCGCCCCAUGCCAGGCCAAGAGGAGCCGAGACUGGCAAUCCAGGGUACCCAGCCCCUCCAAGAUCCAGCAGUGGGCUUUGCUUGCCAUAGGUGACCACAGGACAGUCUGCAGAGCCUCUGUACACAGGCUGCUAUUUCUGCCCAGAGAACCCAAACCCCUUGCCAAGUGAAUCCCCAUGCAAUUCCCAGAGCUCGACUUGGCCACUUCC